rnacentral:tRNA from 1 species
CCGCCCGUAGCUCAACCGGAUAGAGCACCGGCCUUCUAAGCCGGGGGUUGGGGGUUCGAGUCCCUUCGGGCGGACCA